rnacentral:tRNA from 1 species
CGAAGUGUAGCGCAGUUUGGUAGCGCUCCUGUUUUGGGAACAGGAGGUCGCAGGUUCGAAUCCUGUCACUUCGA